GGUGACCUGCGGAGGGAUCAUUACUGAGUUUUUAACUCUCCAAACCAUGUGAACUUACCACUGUUGCCUCGGUGGUCGGUGCUGGAAACAGUGCUGCCACCGGUGGACUACUAAACUCUUGUUAAUUUUUGUCAAAUCUGAAUCAAACUAAGAAAUAAGUUAAAACUUUCAACAACGGAUCUCUUGGUUCUGGCAUCGAUGAAGAACGCAGCGAAAUGCGAUAAGUAAUGUGAAUUGCAGAAUUCAGUGAAUCAUCGAAUCUUUGAACGCACAUUGCGCCCAUUAGUAUUCUAGUGGGCAUGCCUGUUCGAGCGUCAUUUCAACCCUUAAGCCUAGCUUAGUGUUGGGAGACUGCCUAAUACGCAGCUCCUCAAAACCAGUGGCGGAGUCUGUUCGUGCUCUGAGCGUAGUAAUUUUUUAUCUCGCUUCUGCAAGCCGGCCAGACGACAGCCAUAAACCGCACCCUCUCGGGGGGCACUUUUUUAAUGGUUGACCUCGGAUCAGGUAGGAAUACCCGCUGAACUUAAGCAUAUCAAUAAGCGGAGGAAAAG
rnacentral:rRNA from 1 species